UCUUCAUCAUUAGAUUUUACCCUACCCAACAACACCACCAGUCUUCUUCUCCACUUUGCGUGCAACAAUGGCGGGCUCUUCAUUCAUCUCCGCUGUCGCUAAACGGCUGGAGGGCAAGGUUGCGCUAAUCACUGGAGGAGCCAGCGGGAUCGGCGAGAUCACCGCAAGAGUCUUUGCCCACCAUGGCGCCAAGGUCGUCAUUGCUGACAUCAACGACGCGCUCGGCCACUCCGUCUGCAACUCCCUCAGCCAGGACACCGCAUCCUACGUCCACUGCGAUGUCACCGAUGAGUCCCAAAUCAAGGCUGCCGUUGCCGAGGCCGUCUCCGUCUAUGGUAAGCUUGAUAUCAUGUUCAACAACGCUGGGAUCGCGGACCCGAACAAGAACCGCAUCAUCGACAACGACAAGGCCGACUUCGAUCGCGUCCUUGCCGUGAACGUGACCGGCGUCUUCCUCGGGGUGAAGCACGCGGCGCAGGCCAUGAUCCCGGCGCGGCGCGGCUGCAUCAUCAACACCGCCAGCCUCAGCUCCGGAAUCGGCGGCGCUGCCUCGCACGCCUACACGUGCGCGAAGCACGCGGUGCUGGGCCUGACGAGGAACGCCGCGGUGGAGCUGGGGCAGUUCGGGAUCCGGGUCAACUGCCUGUCGCCGUACGCCUGCGUGACCCCGCUGGCGACCAAGUUCGUCGGUGUGGGCCCCGCGGAGCUGGAGGCGGCGAUGGACGCGGUGUCGAACCUGAAGGGGGUGACGCUGAAGGCAGAAGACGUGGCGAACGCCGCCCUGUUCUUGGCGAGCGACGAGGCCAGGUACGUCAGCGGCCACAACCUGUUCAUCGACGGCGGCUUCAGCGUCGUCAACCCAUCUUUCAACAUGUUCCAGUAUCCCCCCGAGGAGGCCUGAUUGGGCCGGGUCGGUUCGCAUGUGCGCCCCAUGACCGUGACAUGAUUCCUAGUCGACAUAAUUCAAAAAUAGCCUGAUUUUCGGGUCAGGUCGUGGACUUAAAGGCCCGCGGGGACAUUGAUCAGCUGAAAAACAAGGGAAGAGUUCA